rnacentral:rRNA from 1 species
AGUGAACGCUGGCGGUAGGCCUAACACAUGCAAGUCGAACGGCAGCACAGUAAGAGCUUGCUCUUACGGGUGGCGAGUGGCGGACGGGUGAGGAAUACAUCGGAAUCUACUUUUUCGUGGGGGAUAACGUAGGGAAACUUACGCUAAUACCGCAUACGACCUACGGGUGAAAGCAGGGGAUCUUCGGACCUUGCGCGAUUGAAUGAGCCGAUGUCGGAUUAGCUAGUUGGCGGGGUAAAGGCCCACCAAGGCGACGAUCCGUAGCUGGUCUGAGAGGAUGAUCAGCCACACUGGAACUGAGACACGGUCCAGACUCCUACGGGAGGCAGCAGUGGGGAAUAUUGGACAAUGGGCGCAAGCCUGAUCCAGCCAUCCCGCGUGGGUGAAGAAGGCCUUCGGGUUGUAAAGCCCUUUUGUUGGGAAAGAACAGCAGCAGGUUAAUACCCCGCUGUUCUGACGGUACCCAAAGAAUAAGCACCGGCUAACUUCGUG